rnacentral:tRNA from 1 species
UGCUUCGGCCGGGAAUCGAACCCGGGCCCCCCGCGUGGCAGGCGAGCAUUCUACCACUGAGCCACCGAUGGU